UGCGUAGGCUGUAUGUUAAGUGGGGUGUGAAAUCCCCCGGCUCAACCGGGGAAUUGCGCUUCAAACUGGCAAACUGGAGGAAGGCAGGGGUUAGCGGAACUUGCGGUGGAGUGGUGAAAUGCAUAGAUAUCGCAAGGAACACCAGUGGCGAAGGCGGCUAACUGGGCCUUUUCUGACGCUGAGGCACGAAAGCUAGGGUAGCGAAGG
rnacentral:rRNA from 1 species